rnacentral:rRNA from 1 species
GACGAACGCUGGCGGCGUGCCUAAUACAUGCAAGUAGAACGCUGAAGGAGGAGCUUGCUCUUCUGGAUGAGUUGCGAACGGGUGAGUAACGCGUAGGUAACCUGCCUGGUAGCGGGGGAUAACUAUUGGAAACGAUAGCUAAUACCGCAUAACAGUAGAUGUUGCAUGACAUUUACUUAAAAGGUGCAAUUGCAUCACUACCAGAUGGACCUGCGUUGUAUUAGCUAGUUGGUGGGGUAACGGCUCACCAAGGCGACGAUACAUAGCCGACCUGAGAGGGUGAUCGGCCACACUGGGACUGAGACACGGCCCAGACGCCUACGGGAGGCAGCAGUAGGGAAUCUUCGGCAAUGGACGGAAGUCUGACCGAGCAACGCCGCGUGAGUGAAGAAGGUUUUCGGAUCGUAAAGCUCUGUUGUAAGAGAAGAACGAGUGUGAGAGUGGAAAGUUCACACUGUGACGGUAUCUUACCAGAAAGGGACGGCUAACUACGUG